rnacentral:tRNA from 1 species
ACUCUUUUAGUAUAAUAAAUAUAAUUGAUUUCCAAUCAAAAGAUCUUAAUCUAUAAAGGGAGAG